rnacentral:rRNA from 1 species
GGACUACCCGGGUUUCUAAUCCCGUUUGCUCCCCUGGCCUUCGUGCCUCAGUGUCAGGAACUGUCCAGAGACCCGCCUUCGCCACUGGUCUUCCUUACGAUCUCUACGCAUUUCACUGCUACACCGUAAAUUCCAGUCUCCUCUCCAGUCCUCAAGCACCGCAGUAUCAAAUGCAGUUUCGGAGUUAAGCUCCGAAAUUUCACACCUGACUUACAGCGCCACCUACGCACCCUUUACGCCCAAUGAAUCCGAACAACGCUUGAGACCUCUGUAUUACCGCGGCUGCUGGCAC